GACGAACGCUGGCGGCGUGCCUAAUACAUGCAAGUAGAACGCUGAAGGCGGAGCUUGCUCUUCUUGGAUGAGUUGCGAACGGGUGAGUAACGCGUAGGUAACCUGCCUGGUAGCGGGGGAUAACUAUUGGCAACGAUAGCUAAUACCGCAUAAUAGUAGAUGUUGCAUGACAUUUGCUUAAAAGGUGCAAUUGCAUCACUACCAGAUGGACCUGCGUUGUAUUAGCUAGUUGGUGAGGUGACGGCUCACCAAGGCAACGAUACAUAGCCGACCUGAGAGGGUGAGCUGCCACACUGGGACGGGGACACGACCCAGACUCCUACGGGAGGCAGCAGGAGGGAAUCUUCAGCAAUGGACGGAAGUCGGACCAAGCAACGCCGCGUGAGUGAAGAAGGUUUUCGGAUCGUAAAGCUCUGUUGUAAGAGAAGAACGAGUGGGAGAGUGGAAAGUUCACACUGUGACGGUAUCUGACCAGAAAGAGACGGCUAACUACGUG
rnacentral:rRNA from 1 species